GACGAACCGUGCGAACGUUGUUCGGAAUCACUGGGCUUAAAGGGCGCGUAGGCGGCUUCGCAAGUCAGGGGUGAAAUCUUUCGGCUCAACCGGAAAAGUGCCUCUGAUACUGCGGAGCUCGAGGGAGGUAGGGGCAGACGGAACUUCCGGUGGAGCGGUGAAAUGCGUUGAUAUCGGAAGGAACGCCGGUGGCGAAAGCGGUCUGCUGGCCCUCUACUGACGCUGAGGCGCGAAAGCGUGGGGAGCGAACAGG
rnacentral:rRNA from 1 species